UGGGGAAUAUUGCACAAUGGGCGCAAGCCUGAUGCAGCCAUGCCGCGUGUAUGAAGAAGGCCUUCGGGUUGUAAAGUACUUUCAGUCGGGAGGAAGGUGGUAAGGUUAAUAACCUUAUCAAUUGACGUUACCGACAGAAGAAGCACCGGCUAACUCCGUGCCAGCAGCCGCGGUAAUACGGAGGGUGCAAGCGUUAAUCGGAAUUACUGGGCGUAAAGCGCACGCAGGCGGUUGAUUGAGUCAGAUGUGAAAUCCCCGGGCUUAACCCGGGAAUUGCAUCUGAUACUGGUCAGCUAGAGUCUUGUAGAGGGGGGUAGAAUUCCAUGGGUAGCGGUGAAAUGCGUAGAGAUGUGGAGGAAUACCGGUGGCGAAGGCGGCCCCCUGGACAAAGACUGACGCUCAGGUGCGAAAGCGUGGGGAGCAAACAGG
rnacentral:rRNA from 1 species